rnacentral:rRNA from 1 species
UACAGAGGAGCCAAGCGUUGUCCGGAUUGACUGGGCGUAAAGCGCACGCAGGCGGUCGCGCGCGUGGGGUGUGAAAUCUGGCCGCUUAACGGCCAGGCGCCAUCCCAUACGGCACGACUGGAGUGAUGCAGAGGUCGGUGGAAUUGCCGGUGUAGCGGUGAAAUGCGUAGAUAUCAGGAGGAACACCAACGGCGAAGGCAGCACUCUGGGCCGGAACUGACGCUGAGGAGCGAAAGCGUGGGUAGCGAACAGG